rnacentral:rRNA from 1 species
AUUGAACGCUGGCGGCGUGCCUAACACAUGCAAGUCGAGCGGUAACAGGUGUAGCAAUACAUGCUGACGAGCGGCGGACGGGUGAGUAACGCUUGGGAAUCUGCCUAUUAGUGGGGGACAACCCGGGAAACUCGGGCUAAUACCGCAUACGCUCUACGGAGGAAAGCCGGGACCGCAAGGCCUGGCGCUAAUAGAUGAGCCCAAGUCGGAUUAGCUAGUUGGUAGGGUAANGGCCUACCAAGGCGACGAUCCGUAACUGGUCUGAGAGGACGACCAGUCACACCGGAACUGAGACACGGUCCGGACUCCUACGGGAGGCAGCAGUGGGGAAUAUUGGACAAUGGGCGAAAGCCUGAUCCAGCGACGCCGCGUGGGUGAAGAAGGCCUGCGGGUUGUAAAGCCCUUUCAGUGGGGAAGAAAAGCCUCGACCUAACACGUCGGGGUCUUGACGUAACCCAUAGAAGAAGCACCGGCUAACUCUGUGCCAACAGCAGCCGCAGUAAU